UACGUAGGGUGCAAGCGUUAAUCGGAAUUACUGGGCGUAAAGCGUGCGCAGGCGGUUUUGUAAGUCUGAUGUGAAAUCCCCGGGCUCAACCUGGGAAUUGCAUUGGAGACUGCAAGGCUAGAAUCUGGCAGAGGGGGGUAGAAUUCCACGAGUAGCAGUGAAAUGCGUAGAGAUGUGGAGGAACACCGAUGGCGAAGGCAGCCCCCUGGGUCAAGAUUGACGCUCAUGCACGAAAGCGUGGGGAGCAAACAGG
rnacentral:rRNA from 1 species